UCCUGGCUCAGAAUGAACGCUGGCGGCGUGCUUAACACAUGCAAGUCGAACGAGAAAUCUUUAGCUUGCUAGAGAAAGUAAAGUGGCGCACGGGUGAGUAACGCGUGGGUAAUCUGCCUCCGAAUCGGGGAUAACAUUGCGAAAGCGAUGCUAAUACCGGAUAAAAUCUGGUUGGCUUAGGUGAACCGGAUCAAAGGUGGUCUCUUUAUAAAAGCUACCGUUUGGAGAUGAGCUCGCGUACCAUUAGCUAGUUGGUGAGGUAAAGGCUCACCAAGGCGACGAUGGUUAGCUGGUCUGAGAGGAUGAUCAGCCACACCGGAACUGGAACACGGUCCGGACUCCUACGGGAGGCAGCAGUGAGGAAUUUUGCGCAAUGGGGGAAACCCUGACGCAGCAACGCCGCGUGAGUGAUGAAGGCUUUCGGGUCGUAAAGCUCUGUCAGGUGGGAAGAACCCACCAAGUGUUAAGACCACUUGGUGCUGACGGUACCACCGAAGGAAGCACCGGCUAACUCCGUGCCAGCAGCCGCGGUAAUACGGGGGGUGCGAGCGUUAUUCGGAAUCAUUGGGCGUAAAGGGCGCGCAGGCGGUUUUGUAAGUCAGAUGUGAAAUCCCGGGGCUUAACCCCGGAAGUGCAUAUGAAACUAUGAGACUUGAGUAUGGGAGAGGGAAGCGGAAUUCCUGGUGUAGCGGUGAAAUGCGUAGAUAUCAGGAGGAACACCGGUGGCGAAGGCGGCUUCCUGGACCAAUACUGACGCUGAGGCGCGAAGGCGUGGGGAGCGAACAGGAUUAGAUACCCUGGUAGUCCACGCAGUAAACGUUGAUCACUAGGUGUAGCGGGUAUUGACCCCUGCUGUGCCGGAGUUAACGCAUUAAGUGAUCCGNCUGGGGAGUACGAUCGCAAGAUUAAACUCAAAGGAAUCGACGGGGGCCCGCACAAGCGGUGGAGCAUGUGGUUUACUUCGACGCAACG
rnacentral:rRNA from 1 species